rnacentral:rRNA from 1 species
CCAUGUGUAGCGGUGAAAUGCGUAGAUAUAUGGAGGAACACCGGUGGCGAAAGCGGCUCUCUGGUCUGUCACUGACGCUGAGGCUCGAAAGCGUGGGUAGCGAACAGGAUUAGAUACCCUGGUAGUNCACGCCGUAAACGAUGAGUGCUAGGUGUUAGGUCCCUUCCGGGACUUAGUGCCGCAGCUAACGCAAUAAGCACUCCGCCUGGGGAGUACGACCGCAAGGUUGAAACUCAAAGGAAUUGACGGGGGCCCGCACAAGCGGUGGAGCAUGUGGUUUAAUUCGAAGCAACGCGAAGAACCUUACCAGGUCUUGACAUCCCGAUGCCCGCUCUAGAGAUAGAGUUUCUCUUCGGAACAUCGGAGACAGGUGGUGCAUGGUUGUCGUCAGCUCGUGUCGUGAGAUGUUGGGUUAAGUCCCGCAACGAGCGCAACCCUUAUUGUUAGUUGCCAUCAUUGAGUUGGGCACUCUAGCGAGACUGCCGGUAAUAAACCGGAGGAAGGUGGGGAUGACGUCAAAUCAUCAUGCCCCUUAUGACCUGGGCUACACACGUGCUACAAUGGUUGGUACAACGAGUCGCAAGCCGGUGACGGCAAGCUAAUCUCUGAAAGCCAAUCUCAGUUCGGAUUGUAGGCUGCAACUCGCCUACAUGAAGUCGGAAUCGCUAGUAAUCGCGGAUCAGCACGCCGCGGUGAAUACGUUCCCGGGCCUUGUACACACCGCCCGUCACACCACGAGAGUUUGUAACACCCAAAGUCGGUGAGGUA